rnacentral:rRNA from 1 species
UACGUAGGGUGCAAGCGUUGUCCGGAAUUAUUGGGCGUAAAGAGCUCGUAGGCGGUUUGUCGCGUCUGCUGUGAAAACUCGGGGCUUAACCCCGGGCCUGCAGUGGGUACGGGCAGACUAGAGUGCGGUAGGGGAGACUGGAAUUCCUGGUGUAGCGGUGAAAUGCGCAGAUAUCAGGAGGAACACCGGUGGCGAAGGCGGGUCUCUGGGCCGUAACUAACGCUGAGGAGCGAAAGCGUGGGGAGCGAACAGG